AUGAACAGUGAUGAUAUUGGGCCACAAACCAGGAUUAUGUUUAAUCCAGUUCUGUUGACUUAAGGUCCAGA
rnacentral:snoRNA from 1 species